rnacentral:rRNA from 1 species
CCUACGGGAGGCAGCAGUGGGGAAUUUUGGACAAUGGGCGCAAGCCUGAUCCAGCAAUGCCGCGUGAGUGAAGAAGGCCUUCGGGUUGUAAAGCUCUUUUGUCAGGGAAGAAACGGCUCCAGCUAAUAUCUGGGGCUAAUGACGGUACCUGAAGAAUAAGCACCGGCUAACUACGUGCCAGCAGCCGCGGUAAUACGUAGGGUGCAAGCGUUAAUCGGAAUUACUGGGCGUAAAGCGUGCGCAGGCGGUUUUGUAAGUCUGUCGUGAAAGCCCCGGGCUCAACCUGGGAAUUGCGAUGGAGACUGCAAGGCUUGAAUCUGGCAGAGGGGGGUAGAAUUCCACGUGUAGCAGUGAAAUGCGUAGAGAUGUGGAGGAACACCGAUGGCGAAGGCAGCCCCCUGGGUCAAGAUUGACGCUCAUGCACGAAAGCGUGGGGAGCAAACAGGAUUAGAUACCCUGGUAGUCCACGCCCUAAACGAUGUCUACUAGUUGUCGGGUUUUAAUUAACUUGGUAACGCAGCUAACGCGUGAAGUAGACCGCCUGGGGGAGGUACGGUCGCGAGAAGUUAAACGUUAAAGGUAAAGUUAGACGGCGUGAGACGUGACCGAACGGACGACGACGAGGGAGGAGG